rnacentral:lncRNA from 1 species
AGCCGGAGGUGGUUGAGGGCUCCUGUAGUCCCAGCUACUCGGGAGGCUGAGGCAGAAGAAUCGCUUGAACCCCGGGAGGCGGAGGUUACAGUCUGUUUCUUAGAAGUGGACACGUGAACUCUUACACAGAUCAAGAGGAGCAGCUCUGUAAAUAUUUCCCUGAGGUACGUCUGGUGCAGUCCUCUAGGGCCCCACAGAUCAGAGUUGGAAACUUCUGCUAUGGCAUUGAAUCCGCCACAUCACCUAGCGGUUUAAUGACAAUGCAAAAUCCUAGGCACCAUCUGCAGAAGAUUAAAUAGUUCUGUCCUAGAUACUAGGAAUCUACAUUUUUAGCCAGCUCACCCUUCCUUUCCCUGUCUCAUCCAUGAUUCUGAGGCUGGCGACCUGUGUUAUCACACUUUGAGAAACCGUUCCAAAGUCAAUGUUUUUCAAACUGCAGAUCCUGACAUUCCAAGGAGUGUGAUUUCAUUUUAGUAGGUCUGGACAUGCUUUGUUUUAAUGAAAUAGGAUAGUCUAGGGUAGCAUAAAAAAUUAUACAAUUUGCCCGGUGCGGUGGCUCACGCCUGUAAUCCCAGCACUUUGGGAGGCCAAGGCAGGCAGAUCACUUGAGGUCAGGAGUUCCAGACCAGCCUGGCAACAUGACGAAACUCCGCCUCUACUAAACAUGCAAAAAGUUAGCUGGACAUGGUGGCGCAUGCCUGUCAUCCCAGCUACUCAGGAGGCUGAGGCAGGAGAAUCGGUUGAACCCAGGAGGUGGAGGUUGCAGUGAGCUCAGAUAGCACCACUGCACUCCAGCCUGGGCAACACAGCGAGACUCAGUCUCAAAAAAAAAAAGAAAAAGUAUACAAUUCAUUGAAUAUAUAUAUAUGGUAUCAAGAGACAACCUAUGGAAUGGGAGAAAAUAUUUGUGAACCAUGUAUGGUUCAGAUGUGUCUGAAAAGAGGUUACUAUCCAAAAUAUAUAAGGGACUCAAACAAUUCAAUAGCAAAAACAAACCAAAAAUAACCCCAUUGAAAAUGGUCAAAGGAUCUGAAUAGACAUUUCUCAAAAGAAGACAUACAGAUGGCCAAUAGAUAUAUAAAAAAAUGCUCUACAUCACUAAUCAUCAGAGAAAUAUAAAUCAGAACCACAAUGUUGUACCACCUUAUGCAUGUUAGUAUGCCUAGUAUCAAAAUGAUGAAAGACAACAAGCGUUGGCAAGGAUGUGGAGAAAAGGGAACCCUUGAAUACUGUUGGUGAGAAUGUAAAUUAGUAUAGCUAUUAUGGAAAACAGUAUGGAGAUUCCUCAAAAAUUAAAAAUAGAACUACCAUACAAUCCAGUAUUCCCACCACUGGGUAUAUAUCCAAAGGAAAUAAGACCAGUAUGUCAAAGAGGUAUCUGCACUUCCAUGUUCACUGCAGCAUUAUUCAUAGUAGCCAAGAUAUGUAAUCAACCAUCAACCUAAAUGUCCAUCAAUGAAUGAAUGGAUAUAUAUAUAUAUCCAUAUAGAGAGAGAGAGAGAGAAUGAUUGAAUGGAUCAUAUAUAUGAUAUAUAUAUGAUAUAUAUGAUGAAGGAUGAUUUCCUUCAUCCAUAAAAUGAAGGAAAUCUGGUCAUCUGCAACAGCAGAAUGAAAUUGGAAGACAUUUUAUUAAGUGAAAUAAGCCAGGCUCAGAAAGACAAAUACUGUGUGCUCUCAUAUAUAUGUAGAAUCUGGAAAAAAAUGUUGAACUUACAGAAGCAGAGAGUAGAAUGGUGGCUACCAGAGGCUGGGAAGUGGGGGGACUGAGGAGAUAUUGGUCAAAGGAUAUAAACUUUUAGCUAGACAGGAGGAAUAACUUCAAGAGAUCUAUCAUAUAUCACCGUGACUAUAAUUAGUAACAAUAUAUUGUAUACUUGAAAAUUCUGGCCAGGUGCAGUGGCUCAUGCCUGUAAUCCCAGCACUUUGGGAGGCUGAGGCGGGUGGAUCGCUUGAGGUCAGGAGUUCCAGACCAGCCUGGCUAACAUGGUGAAACCCCAUCUCUACUAAAAAUACAAAAAUUAGCUGGGCGUGGUGGCAUGAGCCUGUAAUCCCAGCUACUCAGGAGGCUGAGGCAGGAGAAUUGCUUGAAUCCAGGAGGUGGAGGUUGCAGUGAGCCGAGAUCAUGCCACUACACUCCAGCCUGGAUGGCAGAGUGCGACUCCAUCUCAAAAAAAAAAUAAAUAAAUAAAUAAAUAUAUAUAUAUAUACAUAUAUAUAUAUAUAUAUAUAUGAGUAGAUUUUAAGCGUUCUCACUACAAAGUAAUUCAUAUGUUAAUUAGCUUUUAUCUGGGUAUUGCACAAUAAAUACAUAUAUCAAAGCAUCGUGUUAUAUAACAUACACCUAUAUGUAUUAGUCCGUUCUCAUAUUGCUAUAAAGAACUACCUGAGAGUGGGUAAUUUAUGAAGAAAAAAAUUUAAUUGAUUCACAGGCUGUACAGGAAGCACAGCUGGGGAGGCCUCAGGAAACUUACAAUCAUGGCAGAAGGCAAAGGGAAAACUGGCACAUUUUAUAUGGCUGGAGCAGGAGGAAGAGAGAAGUGCUACACACUUUUAAACAACCAGAUUGCAUGAGAACUCACUAUCAAGAGAACAGCAAGGGGAAAAUCCGCUCCCAUGAGCCAGUCACCUCCCACCAGGUCCCUCCUCCAACCCUGGGGAUUACAAUUCAACAUGAGAUUUGGGUGGGGACACAGAGCCAAACCAGGCAAUAUACAGCUUUUGACGAUUAAGAAUUAAUUACUUUUCUAAAGAAUCAUUUCCUGAAACCUUUAUUGCAGAUAUAUAUGUAAAUAUAAUCACCUUAAUGUGCAUAAAAUAUAUUUCUUUUUUGUUGCCCAGGCUGGAGUGCAGUGGCACGAUCUCGGCUGACUGCAACCUCCUUCUCCUGGGUUCAAGCAAUUCUCUUACCUUAACCUCUCAAGUAGCUAGGAUUACAGUCAUGUGCCACCACGCCCAGCUAAUUUUGUACUUUUAGUAGAGAUGGGGUUUUACUGUGUUAGCCAGGCUGGUCUCAAACUCCUGACUUCACAUGAUCCGCCCACCUCAGCCUCCCAAAAUGCUGGGACUACAGGCAUGAGCCACCGUGCCCAGUAUAAAAUAUAUUUCUUAGUAUGUGUUUGAUAUGGUUUGGGUGUCCCCCACCCUAAAUCUCAUGUUGAAAUGUAAUCCCCAAUGCUAGAGGUGGGGCCUGGAGGGAGGUGAUUGGAUCAUUAGUUCUAAUGGUUUAGCACCAUCUCCCUAGUGCUGUUCUCAUGAUAGGGUUCUCCCAAGAUCUGGUUGUUUAAAAGUGUAUAGCAUCAGGCCAGGCAUGGUGGCUUUAUGAUGUGAUUCCUCAGGCCUAUGGGGUUGCUUCAACAUAAGAUGCUGAUGACAGUGAAUGCCUGAAACCACUUGGUCCUUGGGAGCUUCACCUUCUAUAUUCUUAGACUUGCAUACUUGCUGGAAUAUCCUGGUUUAUCCAGAGAGGCCCACUGAUCUUCAGGAUCCAGGAUAUGGCUGGAUCAUCACUACUGGUGGGCUCCUGUAGUCCCAGCUACUCGGGAGGCUGAGGCAGAAGAAUUGCUUGAACGCUGCAGGCAGUUUUCUGUUUCUGUUUUUGUGUUUUAAUUAUUCUAACAAAUGUGUAGUGGUAUUUUAUUAUGAUUUUCAUGUGCAUUUUCCUAAUAACUAAUAGUGCUAAUUAUCUUUUUAUGUUCUUAUUUCCCAUCUGUAUAUUUUCUUUGGUGAAAUGUCCAUAUUUAUGCCCAUUUUUUAUUAGGUUGUUUUUCUUCCCUAAUUGUAAGAGGGUUUGUUGUUUUUUUUUUAAGUCUGAAUAAUAGACUUUUACCAGACAAGUCUUUUGCAAUUUUUUUUCUUCCAAUCUGUGACUUGUCUUUUCCUUUAGCAAUGUCUUUAGAGGAGCAAAAGUUGUCAUUUUGAUGAGGUCAGAUUUAUCAAUUGUUUUUUAGUUUCUGGAUCAUACUUACUGUGUCUCGCUUAAGAAAUUUUGCCCAACCAUUGAUUACAAACUUUUCUCCUAUAUGUUCCUCUGGAAGAAAUACCUAAUAAUUUCAAGUUUUACAUUUUGCUGUAUGAUAAACCCUGCCUUUUUGAAGCUUAAAAGAUAGUGAUCUCUAACAAGACAUUCCCCUGCAAACUGUGUGCUGUGUUUGAAAAUCUUCAAAGACAAACUUCAGGAAAGGCUGAUCAGUUUUUCUUUGACGGAUAAAAAUCAAUUACAGGCCGGGCACCGUGGCUCACGUCUGUAAUCGCAGCACUUUGGGAGGCCGAGGCAGGCGGAUCACCUGAGGUCAGGAGUUCGAGAUCAGCCUGACCAACAUGGUGAAAUCCCGUCUCUACUAAAAAUAUAAAAAAAUUAGCCAGGCGUGGUGGCGGGUGCCUGUAAUCCCAGCUACUCGGGAGGCUGAGGCAGAGAAUUGCUUGAACCCGGGAGGCAGAGGUUGCAGUGAGCCAAGAUUGCGCCACUGCACUCCAGCCUGAGUGACAGAGCAAGAACUCCGUCAAAAAAAAACAAAAAAAUCAAUUACAAAAGAAGUUGAAUUAAAUUUACUUCAUGAGAAGACCAAAUUUUUAAAUAUUAAAAAGGUCUUUUUCUCAAAAACACAUUUGAUUGGAUAUGCAUGAACCACAUGCCAAUUACAGAUUGGGAACCAGCUGGGGUACUGACAAAUGCUGUCCUUGACCAGACUUCAGUCAGACUUCUCUGAGCCCUCUUCUCGACUAGGCCUAGACCUUGGCCUCAGUCCCAUCCUCAGCUUGCAGAUAGUCCAGUUUUUUUAAGUAUCCUUCUAACUCAAUGUAUCAGAAAUCCCUCUGACCCUUGAUAUCUGAUCACCCUUGUCCACCCUCAGCAAGAAUCCUGUUAAUUCAGCAAGAAUCCUGAUAAUACCGAGAAUCCCCUUACCCCUGAUGUCUCCUGUUACUAAUUUUCCAUCCACUGACCCCACCCCACCCCAAUUCUGCUCCUUUGCUGUAAAUUCCCAGCUGUCUCUACCACAUUUGGAGUUAAGCCCAAUCUGUCUCUUCUCUUGCAAUAAUCUUUUCUUUAAGAAUACCUCCUGGGAGUAGGAGAGAGAAAUAUAUAAAAAUAAAUAACAAACCAAGUGUGGUGGCUUAUGGCUUUAAUCCCAGUACUCUGAGAAGCUGAGGCAGGAGGAUUGCCUGAGCCCAGAAGUUGAGACCACGGUGGGCAACAUAACAAGACCCUGUCUGUCUAAAAAUUUUUAAAAAUUAGCCGGGCAUUGGCCGGGCAUGGUGGCUCACACUUGUAAUCCCAGCACUUUGGGAGGCCGAGGUGGGUAGAUCACGAGGUCAGGAGUUCGAGACCAGCCUGACCAGCAUGGUGAAACCCAGUCUCUACUAAAAAUACAAAAAAUUAGCCGGGCGUAGUGGCACGUGCCUGUAAUCCCAGCUACUGGGGAGGCUGAGGCAAGAAAAUCGCUUGAACUCAGGAGGCGGAGGUUGCAGUGAGCCGAAAUCUUGCCAUUGCACUCCAGUCUGUGCCACAAAGCAAGAGUCGGUCUCCAGAAAAAAAAAAAAAAAAAAGCCGGGUGUGGAGAAUGUGCCCCUAUAGUCCCAGCUGCUUGGGAGGCUAAGGCAGGAGGAUGGCUUGAGCCCAGGAGUUGGAGGCUGCAGUGGGCUGUGAUUGCAUCACUGUACUCCAGCCUGGGUGACAGAGCAAGACCCUGUCUCUAAAAUAAUAUAAAUAAUAAGUAGCAAGAUGCCCUGACCUCCUUCACCUUCACACCACAAAACUGAAUGGGCCUGGAAGGGUUGACCAGUGCCACUGAGGCUGCAGCUGAAGUCAAGAAAGCAUUGCAGAAAAAAAUUGUAUCCAAACUGUCAAGAACAGGGAGUAGUUGGUUUUAUUUUAUUUUAUUUUAUUUUAUUUUAUUAUACUUUAUGUUCUAGGGUACAUGUGCACAAAGUGCAGGUUUGUUACAUAUGUAUACAUGUGCCAUGUUGGUGGGCUGCACCCAUUAACUCAUCAUUUAACAUUAGGUAUAUCUCCUAAUGCUAUCCCUCCCCCUUCCCCCCACCCCAAAACAGGCCCUGGUGUGUGAUGUUCCCCUUCCUGUGUCCAAGUGUUCUCAUUGUUCAAUUCCCACCUAUAAGUGAGAACAUGCAGUGUUUGGUUUUUUGUCCUUGCAAUAGUUUGCUGAGAAUGAUGGUUUCCAGCUUCAUCCGUGUCUCUACAAAGGACAUGAACUCAUCGUUUUUUAUGGCUGCAUAGUAUUCCAUGGUGUAUAUAUGCCACAUUUUCUUAAUCCAGUCUAUCAUUGAUGGACAUUUGGAUUGGUUCCAAGUCUUUGCUAUUGUGAAUAGUGCCACAAUAAACAUACAUGUGCAUGUGUCUUUAUAGCAACAUGAUUUAUAGUCCUUUGGGUAUAUACCCAGGAAUGGGAUGGCUGGGUCAAAUGGUAUUUCCAGUUCUAGAUCCUUGAGGAGUCGCCACACUGUCUUCCACAAUGGUUGAACUAGUUUACAGUCCCACCAACAGUGUAAAAGUGUUCCUAUUUCUCCACAUCCUCUCCAGCACCUGUUGUUUCCUGACUUUUUAAUGAUCACCAUUCUAACUGGUGUGAGAUGGUAUCUCAUUGUAGUUUUGAUUUGCGUUUCUCUGAUGGCCAGUGAUGAUGAGCACUUUUUCAUGUGUCUGUUGGCUGCAUAAAUGUCUUAUUUUGAGAAGUGUCCGUUUAUAUCCUUUGCCCACUUUUUGAUGGGGUUGUUUGAUUUUUUCUUAUACAUUUGUUUAAGUUCUUUAUAGAUUCUGGAUAUUAGCCCUUUGUCAGAUGGGUAAAUUGUACAAAUUUUCUCCCAUUCUUUAGGUUGCCUGUACACUUGAUGGUAGUUUAUUUUGCUGUGCAGAAGCUCUUUAGCUUAAUGAGAUCCCAUUUGUCUAUUUUGGCUUUUGUUGCCAUUCCUUUUGGGGUUUUAGUCAUGAAGUCCUUGCCCAUGCCUAUGUCCUGAAUGGUAUUGCCUAGGUUUUCUUCUAGGGUUUUUAUGGCUUUAGGUCUAACAUUUAAGUCUUUAAUCCAUCUUGAAUUAAUUUUUGUAUAAGAUGUAAGGAAGGGAUCCAGUUUCAGCUUUCUACAUAUGGCUAGCCAGUUUUCCCAGCACCAUUUAUUAAAGAGGGAAUCCUUUCCCCACUUCUUGUUUUUGUCAGGUUUGUCAAAGAUCAGAUGGUUGUAGAUGUGUGGUAUUAUUUCUGAGGGCUCUGUUCUGCUUCAUGGGUCUAUAUCUGUUUUGGUACCAGUACCAUGCUGUUUUGGUUACUGUAGCCAAGUUCGUUUUAAAGAUAAUAAUGAGGGUAGGGGAGAAGAUACCAGAAAGACGACAAGGGCUGGGGCACCAGGGAAGGGAGGAAAUGAAGCAAAAGAUAGGCUGGAGAGGGAGAUGAAAUCUCAGAGGGCUCUUGUGGGUGAGGAGAUGGAACGUGACAUUUACACUUUAGAGAAGUCACUCUGUUUGCUGUGUGAAGCAUUGAUUGGAGUGUGCAAAACUGGAGACAGGGACACACUUGGUAUUCCAGGACAGAGACGACAGAAACCUGAACUAAGUAGCAAAAUGGAGGAGAAGUCGUUGUGAAACCGCCCAAUGGGCUCACCUUACCCACUGCCUAAACAGAGCCGAUUCCUCAAGACAGGGGAAUCGCAAUAAAGAAAUAGCCAUUCACGCAAAGCCGGCUGAGCGGGAGACCGGAGUUUUAUUUUUACUCAAAUCAGUCUCCCCGAACAUUUGGGGAUCAAAGUUUUUAAAGAGAAUGUGGUGGGAGUGCAGGAGCAGUGAGUUGGAGAGUGCUGAUUGGUUGGGUCGGAGGUGAAAUUACGGCGCGUCCCUGUCUUCCUGCGCUGAGUCAGUUCCUGGGUGUGAGUCACAAGAUCAGAUGGGCCGGUUUCUCGAUAUGGGUGGUGCCAGUUGAUCCAUCAAGAGUAGAGUCUGCAAAACAUCUCAGGCACUGAUCUUGGGAGCAGUUUAGGGAAGGUCAGAAUCUUGUGGCCUCCAACUACUUGACUCCUAAACCGUAAUUUCUAAUACUGUGGCUAACUUUAGUAGUCUAGUCUCCAGGCAAGAAGGGAGUUUGUUCUGGGAAAGGGCUGUUAUUGUCAUUUUUUAAAACUAUAAACUAAGUUCCUCCCAAAGUUUUUUCAGCCUGCGCCCAGAAAUGAACAAGGACAGCUUGGAGGUUAGAGGCAAGAUGGAGUCGUUUAAGUUGGACCUCUUUCACUGUCUCAGUCAUAAUUUUGCAAAGGCGGUUUCAGUUGCAGACAAAAGGAUCCGCAGGCUCCAGUGACUGUCUGCAUGGCGGGAGAAAACACAAGGUAAUCGCUCAGUGUCUGGCUGGAGUCCUGGGUAGAUGGUGAUAUCAUUCACCAAGAAGGGAAAUAACAGAAGGAGCCCAUGUUUGGGGGGAAAAUUAUAUGUUCUGUUUUAACAACUUAGGCUAUGGGUUGAAUUCUGUCCCCUUGAAAUUCAUAUGUUUAAGUCCCAACCCCCAGUACCUUAGAACAUAACUUUAUUUGGAGACAGGAUCUUUACAGAGGUAAAGUUAAAGUAAAGUUAAGAUAAAGGUAACGUUAAAAUGUGGUUAUUAGGGUAGGCCCUGAUACUAUAUAAUUGGUGUCCCUUACAAAAAGGGGAAAUUUGGAGACCAAGAUGCCCAUAAAGGGAAGACGGUGUGAAGCGAUAGAGACAGAGGACAAUGAUUUACAAGCCAAGGAGCAAACAGAUUUGAUAUGCUUAGCAAUUAGCAUUUUCUAGAAAUGUCCCCAAGGAAAAGCCUUAUUGUUCUACGCAAAUUGAACCAGACUUACCUGGCAAUACAAUAACAGUAGAUGACAUUUACUCUGUGCUUACUAUACACAGAUCAUUUAAUCCUAGCACUUUGGAAGGCUAAGGUAGGCGGAUUACCUGAGGCUGGGAGUUCAAGACCAGCCUGGCCAACAUGGUGAAACCCGGUCUCUACUAAAAAUACAAAAAUUAGCUGGGCGUGGUGGCAGGUGCCUGUAAUCCCAGCUACUCGGGAGGCUGAGGCAGGGUAAUAGCUUGAGCCCAGGAGGUGGAGGUUGCAGUGAGCUGAGAUUGUGCCAAUGCACUUCAGCCUGGCCUGGCCAACAGAGCGAGACUGUCUCAAAAAAUAAUAAUAAUAAUAAAUUAAUUAAUAAUAAAUAAAUCUUCUCCAGAAUCAUGUGAGCUAUUGUCCCCAUUUUAGAGGAGGAAGCUAGCCCAUAGCAGUUAAGCAACUAGCCCAAGGUCACAUAGACUGGUAUAUACUGUGGUAAGUUCACACAACCAAGAGGAGAUAACACUGAACCUCGAUUUGGCUCUGGGGUUGCCUGUGUUGAAUCUCUGGAGUCUACACCACACUGCCCAAAACUAUGCUGUUUAUGAGAAGGGAACUAACCCAACCUAAGGAACGCAGGAAAGCAGAAGGGAGUUUGAUGAACUCAAGGAGGAUGUGCAGGAAAGUCUAGGUCAGCAGAACUUCUGGAAAGUUCUAAGGAAAGGACAUUAAGCAACAUGUUACAGGCAGGACCAGCUUCAUUUCUGGAAUUGUUGGGAUUUUACCAGGGUGACCGAUUUAUGCAUACACACCUAGAUUAUCCAGAGUGCUAUAUAAAAUCCCUUUAAAGAAGUCCAUCUUUCCUAUCUCAUGCCAGUUAUAGAAAUUUCAUAUGGAUCAAAGUGGUACCGGAAAGGGGUCCCAAUCCAGACCCCAAGAGAGGGUUCAUGGAUCUUGCACAAGAAAGAAUUCAGGGCAAGUCCAUAAAGUAAAGUGAAAGCAAGUGUAUUAAGAAAGUAAAGGAAUAGGACAGGCGCGGUAGCUCAUGCCUGUAAUCCCAGCACUUUGGGAGGCCAAGGAGAGUAAAUCACCUGAGGUCAAGGAGUUCAAGACCAGCCUGGCCAACAUGGUGAAACCCCAUCUCUACUAAAAAUACAAAAAUUAGCCCGGCGUGGUGGCUCGUGCCUGUAGUCUCAGCUACUGAGGAGGCUGAGGCAGGAGAAUCACUUGAACUCAGGAGGUGGAGGUUACAGUGAGUCGAGAUUGCACCACUGCACUCCAGCCUGGGCGACAAAGCAAGACUCCAUCACCAAAAAAAAGAAAAAGAAAAAGAAAAAGAAAAAAAAGCAAAGGAAUAAAGAAUCACUACUCCUUAGGCAGAGCAGCCCACUAGGGCUGCUGGCUGUCCACCUUUAUGGUCAUUUCCUGAUUAUAUGCUAAACAAGGGGUGGAUUAUUCAUGAGUUUUCUGGGAAAGUGGGGGACAAUUCCCAGAACUGAGAGUUCCUCAUCUUUUUAGACCAUAUAGGGUAACUUCCUGACAUUGUCAUGGCAUCUGUAAACUGUCAUGGUGCUGGUGGGAGUGUCUUUUAACAUGUUAAUGCAGUAUAAUUAGCAUAUAAUGAGCAGUGAGGGCACCAGAGGUCACUCUCUUUGCCAUCCUGGUUUUGUGGGUUUUGGCCAGCUUCUUUACCACAGCCUGUUUUAUCAGAAAGGUCUUUAUGACCUGUAUCUUGUGCCGACCUCCUAUCUCAUCCUGUGACUUAGAAUGCCUUAAUCUCCUGGGAAUGCAGCCCAGUAGGUCUCAGCCCUAUUUUACCCAGCCCCUAUUCAAGAUGCAGUUGCUCUGGUUCCAAGGCCUCUGACAGAAGGUUGAAACAUUAGAAAAUGUUUAACUAUACAACAAUCAGGAGAAAAUAUAGAAUAAUUUUUGAAAUAUAAUCUCAAAGUGAGUAAGUAUUUUCUAGGCAGGAAAUGUUAAAAGCCCCUCUCCUGCACCCCCCCCAAAAAGAUGAUGAAAUUGACUUCAAAAAAAUGUUUAAUUUCUACAUCGCACGGAAUAUCAAAAAUAUAAUCAAAAGACAAAUGGCAACUCUGGAUACAUUUGCAAAAUAUAUCCUAAAUCUGAAUUUACAAAGAGCACCUAAAAACCUAUUUAUUUAUUUAUUUAUUUAGAGACGGAGUCUCGCUCUGUCACCAGGCUAGAGUACAGUGGCACGAUCUCGGCUCACCGCAACCUCCGCCUCCCAGGUUCAAGCGAUUCUCCUGCCUCAGCCUCCUGAGUAGCUGGGAUUACAGGUGCAUGCCACCACACCCAGCUAAUUUUUGUAUUUUUAGUAAAGACAGGGUUUCACCAUGUUGGCCAGGAUGGUCUCGAUCUCUUGACCUCAUGAUCCGCCCUCCUCGGCCUCCCAAAGUGCUCAGAUUACAGGCGUGAGCCACUGCGCCCGGCCUAAAAACCAAUUUAAACAUAAAUUAACAGAAUAUAUACAUAAGAAAAUUGAACAAAAGAGGUGAACAGAUAGUAGGAAGAAAGGAAGCUUUUAAGUACAUGAAAAACGUUCAACCUAACUCACAAUAAAAAAACACAAAAUAAACCAUUUCCAGCUGACUCAAAAUUCAGUUAUUUUCAUUUGAGAGAGACAGGAAGAACAAGGGCUUUCAUAUUGGUGUGAGUGUAAUUUGAUACAAGCUGUUUUGAAAGGAGCUGUGGCAGGGUUGGUGGGGACGAGCAGGGAGGUUGGUGGGACGGGUUUGCAGAGGGCGUCUCACUUUUUUGCCCAAGCUGGUUUCAAACUCCUGGGUUCAAGCCAUGCUUCCACCUCGGCCUCCCAAAGUGCUGGGAUUACAGGUGUGAGCCAGUGCGCCCAGCCAUCAAUUAAAUUUCUUCUGAGACAUAAAGGCAACACUCUUCUUGCUUGGGUUGGUACUGUGUUCUGUCCCUGACCAGGGGUGUAACCCUGGGCCAUUUCUUAAUCUCAUUAUGCUUCCUCUCCCUCGUCUGUAAAACGGGAUAAAUAAUAAUAGAGACAUUGUGAACAUUAAGUUAGCUACCCAUGUAAGUGCCUGUUCAAGGUUUUGCUAGGAUUAUUUUACAUAUUGCCCUGCCUGAAACCAAGGAACAAGGAAAUCUGCUCAGCAUUGUUCCUAAGACUAGAUACAAUUUAAGUGUUCAUCAAAAGGCAUAAAGAAUUGUGAUAUAUCCAAACACAGGAAGUAAAAGGAUAAGCGAAGAUGUAUGAACGAAAUAGGAAGAUUUUCAGAAUAUUGUUGAGGAAAUGGGAGCGGUACCUAUGUGUGCUACCUUCGUACAAAAAGCGUGAAGUGGGUUUUAAAGUAAAUGUACGUGUAUACUGGUGAAUGCAUAGACAAUUUCUGAAGGGUCACAAAAGAAACAGCUAACCAUUGAAAGAUGGGAUGGAAACAUCAGUUGUGAAAUACGUGGAGGGAUUCUGAAUUCUGUGCAUGAAAUUAAUUUUUCAAAAAGCUUUUUUUUUUUUUUUUUUUUUUUGAGACGGCUCUCUCCCAGGCUGGAGUGCAGUGGCGCGAUCUCGGCUCACUGCAAGCUCCGCCUGCCGGGUUCACGCCAUUCUCCUGCCUCAACCUCCCGAGUAGAGUAGCUGGGACUACAGGCACCCGCCACCACGCCUGGCUAAUUUUUUUGGUAUUUUUAGUAGAAACGGGGUUUCACCGUGUUAGCCAGGAUGGACACGAUCUCCUGACCUCGUGAUCCGCCCGCCUCAGCCUCCCAAAGUGCUGGGAUUACAGGCAUGAUCCACCGCGCCUGGCCUCAAAAAGCAUUUUUAAUUUAAAUAAAUAAAGUAUGAGGGCGGCCUUCGUGAUGUCCUUCGACUUAGUGGUGGCAAUUUUUAGAGAUGGCCCAAGCAAGGCUUAGGAGAAGGUAGGUGAGCCAAGGGGCAACACCCAGGAACCCAGAAGCCGGCUGGCCAGGUAGUGGAAAGGCGCAGGCGCAGGGGCGAGCGAAGCCUCGGUGGAGCGGAGCCGCCUGCACCUCCAGAGAGGCGCCAUACGGGGGCCGCCGCGGAGGCCGACUCAGCGCCGAGCGCUAAGAGAAACCGGGCUGAUGCAGCAGGCGGGAAACAAGCCGUAGAAAUUCUUGAGACACGGGUUCGUCGCCAGCUUCCUGGUGCAAAACCCAACACCUGGCUCACAAAACGCUAGGUAACAUCUCAUGGUUCCACUGGGGCUCGAACCCAGGACCUUCUGCGUGUAAAGCAGACGUGAUAACCACUACACUAUGGAACCCCACACGACUAAAACGUUCCUCCAGGAUUUGAUAAUUGUUCAAAAAGACAUUUUGGCACUGGGAAAUGGUCAUGUAGACUUGACAUCCGGCGAUUGUGCACAGAGAAAAACUUUCAAAAGGAUUCCUCAUUUUCCAGUAUUCAGAGGAGCACGACCGCACAGAAACAUUGUCAAAAUGUCUGCGUCUCCAGCUUCCUGAACCAAAACCCACGAUUGGGCUCGCAAAAUGUUAAUACUAAACAUUAUAAAGAAAGGAAAGAAAAGAAAAAGGUAUGAAUCACGCCGUGUCCCACCAGAGUCGCUUUUUGUUUGAAGAAGAGCAAACGGAAAGUUAGGCGGAGGGAAUGGAUAUAAAAUAGAUGAAACGAGAACUGUCUACCAUUUAAAAUUUCCGGAAUGAUGUGAAUUGCAGCUAAUUGCAGUUCCUGGUUAUGUCCCUUCACUUGAAGGCGUAAAGAAUCCCGUUCCUCUAUCGAGCCUUUUCUCCUUCACUUUUACCUGGCCCCAGUUUCUAGUGGCGAGAUAAAGAAAUUAGGGAAAUAUAAUCAAAGUUACCAAGUUUUUUCCCCAUAUUAUUCUUUUAUAUCAGGAAAAAAAGUAAUUUUAAAUUGUUCCGAAACUUUAGUCGCCUAGUGUUACCCGAGUUGCUUUAAAAUAAAACAUUGUUUUAUCAGUUACCAGAAUGGCCGAGUGGUUAAGGCGUUGGACUUAAGAUCCAAUGGAUUCAUAUCCGCGUGGGUUCGAACCCCACUUCUGGUAAAGAGGAGUUGUUUUUCCUGGCAAAAACCUUUUUUCCUAAUCCUUGACAAUCCAUUUUGCAAUCUUAAGCGUCCAGAUAACAAUAACUAUAGUUAAUAUCAUUUUGCCAGAUACCUUACAUAUAGCGACAGCUUCACAGUUUAUGGUUUGAAAAGUAGAAAGAAAACGUCUGAAAAAAAGAAAGAAAACGUCUGGGUCCAGCUAUAUGGGAGUGAGGGAGCACAGAGCGAGAGGCACAUUGUGCUGCAAAAACGUUCACUCCGAGUCGACAGUUAUUUCUUGAGAUCCUAUUACGUGCCAAGUACUGUUCUAAACACUGGGGUUGUGGUGAUGUAGGUUUGGUUUUUUUUCUUUUAAAGCAAAACAACAAAAAAUACAAGAGCCUUACCAUCAAGACCACUGCCCAAUGUCACUUACAUGACAAAGUGACAGAAGAAAAAUAUGGUUUAAAAACAAGCAGACAGCCGGGCACGGUGGCUGACGCCUGUAAUCCCAGCACUUCGGGAGGACGAGGCGGGUGGAUCACCUGAGGUCAGGAGUUUGAGACAAGCCUGGCCAACAUGGCGAAACUCUCCGUCUCUACUAAAAAUACAAAAAUUAGCCGGGCAUGGUGGCGCGUGUCUGUAAUCCCAGCUACUAGGAGGGCUGAGGCAGGAGGAUCGCUUGAACCUGGGAGGCGGAGGUUGCAGUGAGCCGAGGUGGUGCCACUGCACUCCAGCCUGGGCAACAGAGAGAGACUUCGUCUCAAAAAAAAAAAAAAAAAAAAAAAAAAGCAGACAGGUUUGGUGCGGUGGGGCUCACGCCUGCAAUCCCAGCGCUUUGGGAGGCCAAGGCAGGAGGAUUGCUUGAGGCUAGGGGUUUGCGACCAGCUUGGGCAAGAACGUGAGACACUGUCUAUUUUUAAAAAAAAUUUUUUUAAUUAAAAAUAAAUAAAAACAACUGGACAAAUUGGAGAAUUUGAGAGAUAGCGAUAGGUACUAUACAGAAAAUAAAACAAGGCAGCCCAACAGAAUGGCUUUUCUCAGGACAAACUUAUUCCAUUUGAUUAUGAAAAUCAUCGUCCUUGACAGAAAUGUUCUUCCCCUCUCUCUACCAAACAAAAACUUCCAAGGACUAAUUCUGACCCUCCUCCUCCACUAAAAGCCUUUCCUGACCAAUCACCCUCAUUCAACUCUCCAUUCUUUCAUUCAAGGACAGUUUUUGAGAGCUUUCAGUGAGGCACUGACUCAGGGAUUGCAGAUAUACAGAGAGUUCCUGUCCUCACAGCAGAAACAUUCUAGGAGGAAAACAGAUUCGUUAAACAGGUGUUUAAGGUAGGUUGCAGUGGGCACAGCAACAGAGACAGGCUCAGAGCCCAGUUCCUAACCCUGUCUGGAAAGGAUCAAGCAGGGAUCUCUGGGGCAACUCCUGAACCCUGUCUGUAAAGAUCAGCCAGAACCUUCCACAAAAAAACAAAAAACAAAAAAACAAAAACAAAACCACUGUGGAAUGCUAAUUGAAAUACUAACAGUUCCCUAUGUUGUUGUUUGUUUGUUUGUUUUGACACAGAGUCUUGCUCUGCCGCUCAGGCUGAAGUGCAGUGGCGCCAUCUCUACUCAUUGCACCCUUCAGCUCACCGCAACCUCCGCCUCCCGGAUUCAAGCGAUUCUCUUGUCCCAGCCUCCCGAGUUGCUAGGAUUACCGGCGCGUGCCACCACGCUCGGCUAAUUUUUGUAUUUUUUUGUAGAGGUGGGAUUUCGCCAUGUUGGUUAGCCUUCUCUCGAACUCGUGGCCUCAAGCGAUUCGCCCGCCUCAGCGUCUCAAAAUGUUGGGAUUACAGGUGUGAGCCACCGCAUCCGGCCUACUUCCCAGUGUUAAGCAGUCCACUACCACACAGUUAACACUUGAUACAGUUAAGAGUUUGAGACUUUUGGUCUGUGUUUGGUGCCUAUCAAGCUGGUCAGUCCCAGAACAGGAAACGCAUCUUCAUGCUCUUAUUCAUUCAAAGCUGUACUCAGUGACCAGUGUUACUCAGUUACUGUACUCAGUAACUCAGUGUACCUGGCACUUUUGUAAGAAGUGGAGGUUCACCGGGCGUGGUGGCUCACGCCUAUAAUCCCAGCACUUUGGGACACCGAGGCGGGUGGAUCGCGAGGUCAGGAGUUCGCGACCAGCCUGGCCAGCAUGGUGAAACCCCGUCUCUACUAAAAAUACAAAAAUUAGCCGGGCAUGGUGGCGUGCGCCUUUAAUCCUGGCUACUAAGGAGGCCGAGGAAGGAGAAUAGCUUGACCUCAGGAGGCGGAGGUUGCAGUGAGCUGAGAUUGCGCCACUGCACUCCAGCCUGGGCGACAGAGCGAGACUCCGUCUCAAAAAAAAAAAAAAGAAGAAGAAAAAAAAGAAGUGGAGGUUCAGAGGUUUGGAAAGAAACAGACCAAAGGCUCAUAACCCCGUGGGACUGACCUCACGAGACACAGGCACCUCCUUUCCAAGGGGUCUGGUUUUAGUUUUCUUCCUUGAGCCGAGGCUUGCCAUCUGAUGCCUAGGGAUCCACAUCUUCAUUUGUGAAAACUGCACCUGUCAAAUUUGUGAUUUUUCAAUACCAACAACUCCCAUCCAAAACAAUGAGGCAAGGAGGGAGUCCCGCAGAGGAGGAAGUGUGUGAUUUAACCCUUUUCUUCUGGCUCUUUAUAGAAAAACUUCAAAGGAAGCUUUGAUCUAAGGUGCCACUUCUGCCAUCCCAGAAGCAUGGAAUAUUUUGUUAAUAACAAAUCAUAUUUUUCCCAGCACUUUGGGAGGCUGAGGCAGGCGGAUCACGUGAAGUCAAGAGUUCCAGACCAGCCUGACCAACAUGGUGAAACCCCGUGUCUACUAAAAAUACAAAAAUUAGCCGGGCAUGGUGGCGGGCGCCUGUAGUCCCAGCUACUCAGGAGGCUGAGGCAGGAGAAUCGCUUGAACCCGAGAGGAGGAGGUUGCAGUGAGCCGAGGUCGCGCCAUUGCACUCCAGCCUGGGCGACAAAA